rnacentral:rRNA from 1 species
GACGAACGCUGGCGGCGUGCCUAACACAUGCAAGUCGAGCGGAUCGCCGGACGGGUGCGUAAUGCCUAUGAAUCUGCCUGGUCGCGGGGGAUAACGUCCGGAACCGGGCGCUAAUACCGCAUACUAUCACCUGCGCCUAGGUCGGAUUAGCUAGUUGGUGGGGUAAAGGCCUACCAAGGCGACGAUCCGUAACUGGUCUGAGAGGAUGAUCAGUCACACUGGAACUGAGACACGGUCCAGACUCCUACGGGAGGCAGCAGUGGGGAAUAUUGGACAAUGGGCGAAAGCCUGAUCCAGCCAUGCCGCGUGUGUGAAGAAGGUCUUCGGAUUGUAAAGCACUUUAAGUUGGGAGGCGUUACCAACAGAAGAAGCACCGGCUAACUUCGUGCCAGCAGCCGCGGUAAUAC